GAAUAUUGGACAAUGGGGGCAACCCUGAUCCAGCAAUGCCGCGUGUGUGAAGAAGGCCUGCGGGUUGUAAAGCACUUUCGGCAGGGAAGAAAAGCGUCGGGUUAAUAACCUUGCGUCUUGACGUUACCUGCAUAAGAAGCACCGGCUAACUCCGUGCCAGCCGCCGCGGUAAUACGGAGGGUGCAAGCGUUGAUCGGAAUUACUGGGCGUAAAGCGCACGUAGGUGGCCACCUAAGUCGGAUGUGAAAGCCCCGGGCUUAACCUGGGAAUUGCAUUCGAUACUGGGCGGCUAGAGUUCGAAAGAGGGAAGUGGAAUUCCAGGUGUAGCGGUGAAAUGCGUAGAUAUCUGGAGGAACAUCAGUGGCGAAGGCGACUUCCUGGUUCGAAACUGACACUGAGGUGCGAAAGCGUGGGGAGCAAACAGG
rnacentral:rRNA from 1 species